rnacentral:rRNA from 1 species
AACGAACGCUGGCGGCAGGCUUAACACAUGCAAGUCGAACGCACCUUUCGGGGUGAGUGGCAGACGGGUGAGUAACGCGUGGGAAUCUACCCUUCUCUACGGGAUAGCUCCGGGAAACUGGAAUUAAUACCGUAUACGUCCUGAGGGAGAAAGAUUUAUCGGGGAAGGAUGAGCCCGCGUUGGAUUAGCUAGUUGGUGGGGUAAAGGCCUACCAAGGCGACGAUCCAUAGCUGGUCUAAGAGGAUGAUCAGCCACAUUGGGACUGAGACACGGCCCAAACUCCUACGGGAGGCAGCAGUGGGGAAUAUUGGACAAUGGGCGCAAGCCUGAUCCAGCCAUGCCGCGUGAGUGAUGAAGGCCCUAGGGUUGUAAAGCUCAUUCAGUAGGGACGAUAAUGACGGUACCCACAGAAGAAGCCCCGGCUAACUUCGUGCCAGCAGCCGCAGUAAAAC